rnacentral:rRNA from 1 species
GAUGAACGCUGGCGGCGUGCCUAAUACAUGCAAGUCGAGCGAACGGGCGCGUUGCUUGCUUCUCUGGUGUUAACCGCGUACGUAACACGUAAGCAUGCAUCCCCUACCUUUAAGACUACUAUAACUUACUGAAACCAUUGCUAAUUCCGGAUACUUUCUUCAUGCGCAUGGUUCAAAAGUUUCAGACGGUCUUGCUGUCACUUAUAGAUGUCUCCGCGGUGCAUUAGCUAGUUGGUACGGUAACGGCUUACCAAGGCAACGAUGCAUAGCCGACCUGAGAGGGUGAUCGGCCACACGGGAACUGAGACACGGUACAGACUCCUACGGGAGGCAGCAGUAGGGAAUCGUCCGCAAUGGGCGAAAGCCUGACGGAGCAACGCCGCGUGAGUGAUGAAGGUCUGCGGAUCGUAAAACUGUGUUAUUAGGGAAGAACAUAUGUGUAAGGAACUGUGCACAUCUUGACGGUACAUAAUCAGAAAGACACGGCUAACUACGUG